AUUAAAGAAUUAAAUGAUGAAAUAUGAAGUUUUAUUAAAAGAAAAAGGGGUGAAAAGAACAAAGUUUUGUCCAUCUUUGUUCAUCAUAGCUGAAAGUUAGAGAAGAGAAAGGAGAGGAGAAAGCUCUUGAGUAUUUGGUCAUUAUGAGGAGGAAAAUUGAAGGCGGUUCGUGUGUGGAUCUCGUCAGCAUAUCAUCGCAAACAGGUAAUCCCCAACCAUAGUGGGCUUGGAGCUAUGAGGGAAUUCGGAGUGGCCACCCGUUCUGAAAGUUUGAUUUUCUUCUGGUGAACUGGACAUCCUUUUAAUUACGUUUAAGGUUUUAGACUUUUAAAUGUAAUAAGGCCACUUAUUUAUUUUUGAUGGUUUUUAUAUGUUUUAUUAAGAUAGAUAAUAUUUAUUUUAA